rnacentral:rRNA from 1 species
AGUGAACGCUGGCGGUAGGCCUAACACAUGCAAGUCGAACGGCAGCACAGUAAGAGCUUGCUCUUACGGGUGGCGAGUGGCGGACGGGUGAGGAAUACAUCGGAAUCUACUUUUUCGUGGGGGAUAACGUAGGGAAACUUACGCUAAUACCGCAUACGACCUACGGGUGAAAGCAGGGGAUCUUCGGACCUUGCGCGAUUGAAUGAGCCGAUGUCGGAUUAGCUAGUUGGCGGGGUAAAGGCCCACCAAGGCGACGAUCCGUAGCUGGUCUGAGAGGAUGAAAGGCACAAGGGGAAAGGAGCCAGGGCCCAGACCCCGCGGGGGGGCGCAGGGGGGAAAUAUUGGAGAAGGGGCGCAGGUUGGACCCACCAACACCGGGGGGGGAAAGAGGCCGUGUGGGUUGAAAAGCCCUUUUGUGGGGAAAAAAAAGAGGGAGUUAAAUCCCCCGCUGUUCGGACGGCACCAAAAAAAAAAGCCCCGGCAAAUUUCGUG